AACGAACGCUGGCGGCAUGCCUAACACAUGCAAGUCGAACGAGACCUUCGGGUCUAGUGGCGCACGGGUGCGUAACGCGUGGGAACCUGCCUUUAGGUUCGGAAUAACUCAGAGAAAUUUGAGCUAAUACCGGAUGAUGUCUUCGGACCAAAGAUUUAUCGCCUUUAGAUGGGCCCGCGUUGGAUUAGCUAGUUGGUGGGGUAAAGGCCUACCAAGGCGACGAUCCAUAGCUGGUCUGAGAGGAUGAUCAGCCACACUGGGACUGAGACACGGCCCAGACGAGUGCAGGAUGCAUCAAUGCGGGAUCUUGCACAAUGGGUGAAAGGAUGAACCGCCUUUGAUCCGUGAAUGAAGAAAGCCGUAGGGUGGGAAUACGCCUUUGCCCACGCUGGUCCAGACGGGACAGGAAGAAUAGGCACCGCCUAACUCCAUG
rnacentral:rRNA from 1 species